CGGAGCGUGGCGCAGCCCGGUUAGCGCACUUGUCUGGGAGACAAGGGGUCGGAGGUUCAAAUCCUCUCGCUCCGACCA
rnacentral:tRNA from 1 species